rnacentral:lncRNA from 10 species
GAGAAGUGCGUGGGAGAGAGUCUACGUGUGCCUGCGGGUGGCCGGUGUAGCUGAGCCCGUGACUCACAGCAGUGGCCUCUGAGAGUGACGGCGACUGACAAACAGGUGAGCCUACGACACAAUCCCUCCCUCCCGGGGUCCGUGACUCACCGCGCCUCCCUCUACGUGUCCCUGACUGUCUCUUUCCCUCACUUUCUGGCCUUUAGCUUUUCAAUCUGUAAAAUGGAGGCAUUGGACAAGAGAACCCUCACCAGCUUCAACAUUCCUUGACUCAGUUUCUAGAAGAUGCUGCCUGCUUAUCAGGGAACUGGGCAGGGUUGGGCACUAGAAUUAAUGAGGGUCUCUCAUGCUGCCUACGUUUGCAUCCUGUUGAGUUGUAUAUUGGGGAAACCAGACGAGUCAGAAAUCAGGGUAGGGAGUUUGCUGGUGAGGGCUGGAGUGGCGCUUAGAGUGGGGAGCCCAAUGGAAGAGAAAGA